rnacentral:lncRNA from 1 species
GUAAAAAGUAAAUUUUACCUACACAUACAACUUGUUUAUUUAGAAUUUCAUAUUGUGUUGUUUUCUAUAUACACAACUGUUUGUUAAUUUAACAUUUUCUGCAUCCUGAAAGCGCGCAAUACUUGUAAUUAAUACAAUUUAAAAUGUUAUGUAAAAUUGAGAAUGGAAAUGGGGAAUGUGUCAAAGAGACAACAACCCGACCAUAUAACAGACAACAGCAUAAGGAC